CUUUCCAGGGAAAAAACUAAUCACAAAUAACGACAUGGCUGAUCCUGAAGGUGAUGUUUCCUACGCCUCCAUCAGCUACACCAAGAAGACCAACAGGAGAGCCCAGACCCAUGUUGAUGAUGAUGAUGAUGAUGAUGAUGAUGAUGAUGAUGAUGAUGCAGUGACCUACAGCGCUGUGAAAGCCUCCUCCUCUUCUGCUGCAGCAUCCGCUGAUCCCAGCGACGUCUACGCUACCGUCA